GGUGCUAGUUAAACUUGUAUUUUCAACAUUCCAUAAAUUUAUCUUGAGAGAACUAUCUCUUAAAAAAAUUAAAAUCAUAUUAUGAAAUCUAUUCAGCUAUAACACAGAGAGCUAGUGCUAAUCAAAUAUUAUAGGUGUUUCCUUUCAUUUCCUAGCCUUCUUUGUCAUUAAGUUGGGGCCAUGUGACUAUUUCUGGCUAAUGAAUACUAAGUGGAAGAGAAACUUGUCUCUUUAGGCCAAGGAAAACUGAGAAACCACAUAUCUGGGUGGUACAAGCACAAGAUGGUGGAACCUCUGUCCCUGGGUUCCGGGGACACUAUGGACAGAACGAUGUUCCACUGACCAGUGCUGGGCAUGGAACUUGAGCAAGAAAUAACAUUUCAAGAUUUGAGAGUUAACUCGCUACCCCACACAACAUAGCUUCUCCUAACUAUUAAUAAUAUAGCAGUUAAUAGGUACCAAGUGUCAGGUACACUUGCAAAUGCAUUAAAACAAAUUACAUCUGAAUUUCUUUCUCCUCUCUCAGUGGUCUUUUGUGCUAGGGAGAACAUCUGCUUCCUUGUUGAUUGGCAGUUGAAACAUCUGCAAUUUCAUCCUGAAGUCCUGAUCCUGAGUGUGUGUCUGAACUGAGGCUGAAGAUGACCAAACCUUCAACUCUGUAUCUUCCCUGCCUGGCGGAAUCUCAGUACAUCUUCUAAAGGUUCUUUUGGAUAUAUACCCAGAAGUGGAAUUGCUGGAUCAUAUGGAGUGAUGAGCCUGGUGCUCCUGUCUUCUGAACCCAAAUAAUCAUUUUCCGGGCCAUAUAUCUGAAGCAGGUGGAGGGAAUUCCCUUGAACACAGCCACCUUUCUCCUUGGGGACUUCAUCAUCUGGCCUGGGCCUGAGGAAAAUUUGACUAACUGGUGUCAUUCAAAAAAUCUGCCCUACCUUCUAACACCAAAGCUUUAUUAUCAGGUCAAGCAUUUUAUGUGAGGGCCUCUCUUCUCUGAAGAGGAUAAGUUAUUUUACAAGAGUUAUUUUCAAUUUCUCACGCAGGUCCACCUCCCUCCUGCCUGUCCCCUCUGGGCCACCUAAGCAGUCUUCCAGACGUUCUAGGGUGAAUACAUUUUGUGCUCUAGUUGAGAAUCCUGCCAGUUUCACAUAUAGGAGAAUUUUGGAAAGAUUUUUCCUUUAAAGAGGAGGAGAGAGAGACUAGAAGGAAUAAGAAAGAGUAUUAUGAAAUGACUACGUUACAUUUGGAUGUGAGAGAGAGUAGGGGGUAGGAUUUUAAGGCAGAAUGGGAGAUGUAGAGACUUGAAUUUGUGUAGUGGUCAUGGCAAGAAAGGGGUAGAUGCUGGGGGCUUGAUGAAAGAAGAACAAACAGAUAUAACAAGUGACUGGACCUGGAGAAAAAGGCCCUGAAGGCUGUUGUGGAUGGGUCUGAGUUUUCUGGGAAUUUCUGUCUCCAAACUUGAUUUGUAUGCACACUAAAAAUUGAAAUUUCAGAUCCUUAAUGGAAGUUUUCAAAGUUUUAUACCCCUCAUCAGCCACCCUACCUUAAAACCACCAGUUCUCUUAAAUUCUUCAGUGUCUACAUUAGAAGUCUUCCUUCCUUUGGUUUUCCCUAAGCACCAGUCUUGUGAGUGACUUGCUGUAACUUGUCUGCUUCUCUCUGUGUGGGAUGGAGACACAGACAUGCUUUCCUCACUGAGCACCCUGGUGAGUUGGAGUCCUAGGGCACCUUGUCUGUUGGUUUUGGAAGCAAUGUCUAGCCUUAGCAAGAGAUGGAAGGAAGACCCCUGGGAUUUCUUUGGGGUCGAAGAUAGAUAAUGUUCUCAGCACUCAAAUUGACUUUGAAUGAGCAUUCUUUACAUGAUUAUGGAAAGGAACAAUUUAAGGGUUGUUAGGAACCAAAAAGUCAGUUGGAUUUCUCCCCAACUUUCUUCACAGUCUAUAUUUAGGCUCCUCCAACAUACCAAAACUAUUUUAAGAGGAGUAUUUGACAUAUUUCUGAAAUAUUGCUCUGAACAUUUAAGCAAAUGAAUGACAGCAGGGACAGCUUUGAGAAAUAUUAUGAGCGGGUCUCCAGGACCCUUUUAUUUGGCCUCUUGCUCUUCUUCAUCGGUGCCUUCAUGCUGGCCCUGGUUGCUUAGAGCUCUUCACAGGGGACUCCACCAGGACUGACUUUCAAAAUCCUGUGGCCAAGCCUUUCCUUCCCAGAUCCAAUAUCAGACUGUCAUGUUUCUAGAGGACUGAAGGUAAUGGGUGGUCUAAUAAAUAGUAGUGAUAUAUAUGGUUUAUUGAAUGCCUGUCAUUGUGCAUUUCAUACAAUAUCUCAGUAAAUCCUUACAACAGUUUUAGGAGACAAGUAUUAGUGUUCCUCUUUACAAAUGAGGAAAGACUAAAACCCCAAUAAUAUAAAUAAGUUGAGCAAAAUUCAUGCAGCUUGUAAGUGCCAGAGCUAGAAUAGGACCACGAGUCUCUGUAGUAAUGUACAGGCAUGGUAAUUAUGCUUUUGAUCCAGUAAUUAGGAAUAUUUUCUGAUAGGGAUUACAGGAAUCAAAGCAAGCUCUCAGAGCUCUAUCUUUGAUAAGUUUAUUCUAGUAGGGCCCUAUUCUCUUAAAAUUGCUUUUUAGUGAAGUAAGCUCUUUGCAAAGCUCUUGUUAACAGAG